UGUGGAUAAGUGUCAAUAUCGGAAGACCAGCGCGAUGUCUGAUCUGAUGGUUUAUCUACAAGGAUAUUUCUAAAAAAAGAAAAAGAAAAUAUUAUUUUAAUACUUGGCGAAAAAUCCGGCGUUAGAGAAUCAUUACCAUGUAAUAACUGAUUUUUGUUUUGUAAUUACAAAAUGUAUUCAAAGGAAAAUCGUUUAAAUACUAGUAAAGUGCUUACUCUGGCACAUAGCAUGAGGAAAAACUGGAGCAUUUAUAAAUUUUGAACUCCAAAACUUUUUGAAAAUUGCUACUCUCCUUGGACGCCAUGUUACACAAAUGACAUAAGCUUUAACACUAAA